CCUACGGGUGGCAGCAGUGAGGAAUAUUGGUCAAUGGACGAGAGUCUGAACCAGCCAAGUAGCGUGAAGGAUGACUGCCCUAUGGGUUGUAAACUUCUUUUAUAUGGGAAUAAAAUGUUCCACGUGUGGGAUUUUGUAUGUACCAUAUGAAUAAGGAUCGGCUAACUCCGUGCCAGCAGCCGCGGUAAUACGGAGGAUCCGAGCGUUAUCCGGAUUUAUUGGGUUUAAAGGGAGCGUAGGUGGAUUGUUAAGUCAGUUGUGAAAGUUUGCGGCUCAACCGUAAAAUUGCAGGUGAAACUGGCAGUCUUGAGUACAGUAGAGGUGGGCGGAAUUCGUGGUGUAGCGGUGAAAUGCUUAGAUAUCACGAAGAACUCCGAUUGCGAAGGCAGUUCACUGGACUGCAACUGACACUGAGGCUCGAAAGUGUGGGUAUCAAACAGGAUUAGAUACCCUUGUAGUC
rnacentral:rRNA from 1 species